rnacentral:lncRNA from 1 species
UUUUGCACGGGCUAUGUCUAAAUCCACCGCAUCCGCUUAUGGCGGCCUUCUGCAUCUGUGGUGGAAGGUGGCAGAGCUACAACGGUUUUUGUAAGACCAUGAAAUAUCCUGAAAAUUGGUCUUGUCACGAAAAUGACUAGCAUUCGGACGGUUUGGCUUGUAUGACCAAUUUAUGGAAAGAUAGUGUUCUCUGUUUUGCUCUAUGACCCCGACAAGUGUCAGGAGACUCAUCUGAAGAGUUCCCAGUUGUCUUGAAAGCACCAUGAAUCCAGUGAAUGCCAGACUUUGAUGACAAAGUUUGAUGACAAAUUUGCCCACAAAGGACCGCCACGCCACCUUCCUGUACAAGACCUGAGCCCUAGGACCAUGCCUCAGGACUACCUGGUAUGAUGACUCCUUGCUGUCCCCAGUCCACCUGGCCGUGCUGCUGCUCCAGUUUCAACUGUUCUGCCUGCGGCUAUGGAACCCUGACCUGUUCACCGGACGUGCUUGUUGCACCCUCGACAACUACUAUGAUUAUUAUUAUUUGACCAUGCUGGUCAUUUAUGAACAUUUUAACAUUUUAACAUUUUGACCAUGUUCUGUUAUAAUAUCCACCCUGCACAGCCAGAAGAGGACUGGCCACCCCUCAUAGCCUGGUUCCUCUCUAGGUUUCUUCCUAGGUUUUUGGCCUUUCUAGGGAGUUUUUCCUAGGGACUUUUUCCUAGCCACCGUGCUUCUUUCACAUGCUUUGCUUGCUGUUUGGGGUUUUAGGCUGGGUUUCUGUACAGCACUUUGAGAAUAUCAGCUGAUGUACGAAGGGCUAUAUAAAAAUAAAUUUGAUUUGAUUUAAUCACCUGGAAGGUAUUUC